rnacentral:rRNA from 1 species
AGAGUUUGAUCCUGGCUCAGGACGAACGCCGGUGGCGUGCCUAAUACAUGCAAGUAGAACGCUGAAGAGAGGAGCUUGCUCUUCUUGGAUGAGUUGCGAACGGAUGAGUAACGCGUAGGUAACCUGCCUUGUAGCGGGGGAUAACUAUUGGAAACGAUAGCUAAUACCGCAUAACAAUGGAUGACACAUGUCAUUUAUUUGAAAGGGGCAAUUGUUCCACUACAAGAUGGACCUGCGUUGUAUUAGCUAGUAGGUGAGGUAAUGGCUUACCUAGGCGACGAUACAUAGCCGACCUGAGAGGGUGAUCGGCCACACUGGGACUGAGACACGGCCCAGACUCCUACGGGAGGCAGCAGUAGGGAAUCUUCGGCAAUGGGGGCAACCCUGACCGAGCAACGCCGCGUGAGUGAAGAAGGUUUUCGGAUCGUAAAGCUCUGUUGUAAGUCAAGAACGGGUGUGAGAGUGGAAAGUUCACACUGUGACGGUAGCUUACCAGAAAGGGACGGCUAACUACGUGCCAGCAGCCGCGGUAAUACGUAGGUCCCGAGCGUUGUCCGGAUUUAUUGGGCGUAAAGCGAGCGCAGGCGGUUUGAUAAGUCUGAAGUUAAAGGCUGUGGCUCAACCAUAGUUCGCUUUGGAAACUGUCAAACUUGAGUGCAGAAGGGGAGAGUGGAAUUCCAUGUGUAGCGGUGAAAUGCGUAGAUAUAUGGAGGAACACCGGUGGCGAAAGCGGCUCUCUGGUCUGUAACUGACGCUGAGGCUCGAAAGCGUGGGGAGCGAACAGGAUUAGAUACCCUGGUAGUCCACGCCGUAAACGAUGAGUGCUAGGUGUUGGAUCCUUUCCGGGAUUCAGUGCCGCAGCUAACGCAUUAAGCACUCCGCCUGGGGAGUACGACCGCAAGGUUGAAACUCAAAGGAAUUGACGGGGGCCCGCACAAGCGGUGGAGCAUGUGGUUUAAUUCGAAGCAACGCGAAGAACCUUACCAGGUCUUGACAUCCCGAUGCUAUUUCUAGAGAUAGAAAGUUACUUCGGUACAUCGGUGACAGGUGGUGCAUGGUUGUCGUCAGCUCGUGUCGUGAGAUGUUGGGUUAAGUCCCGCAACGAGCGCAACCCCUAUUGUUAGUUGCCAUCAUUCAGUUGGGCACUCUAGCGAGACUGCCGGUAAUAAACCGGAGGAAGGUGGGGAUGACGUCAAAUCAUCAUGCCCCUUAUGACCUGGGCUACACACGUGCUACAAUGGUUGGUACAACGAGUUGCGAGUCGGUGACGGCGAGCUAAUCUCUUAAAGCCAAUCUCAGUUCGGAUUGUAGGCUGCAACUCGCCUACAUGAAGUCGGAAUCGCUAGUAAUCGCGGAUCAGCACGCCGCGGUGAAUACGUUCCCGGGCCUUGUACACACCGCCCGUCACACCACGAGAGUUUGUAACACCCGAAGUCGGUGAGGUAACCUUUUGGAGCCAGCCGCCUAAGGUGGGACAGAUGAUUGGGGUGAAGUCGUAACAAGGUA